AAUCUGAAAAAUUAACGUCAUAAUUCCUUUUAUCCCUUGUUUUCUUAGUGAUGUGAAGAGACUGAAUUGGCCACAUGUCAUUAUCAGCUUACCAAUUAAUGGUUCCAUUGUUGUAUCUCCAUUUUACCAUUCCUGUUCUGGACAACCAAAACACAUGGUUUCAUGGUUGGAAGGCUAAAUUUUGACUAAGCAAUGGAGCUGCUUCCCACAUGGUGUGGUCACCUCAAGAGCCUUUUCCUCUGAGCCAUUACUUGACACUGACAUCCUUCAGUAGAUCCAGAGCGCAUCAGGUUUGAUCAGCUUCCAGUUGGUCUUAACUUUUGUGUACCCCUUCCUUGAGAGAAGCUCCUCAGGUAAGCAGCAGGUAGGCAGUGCUGGAUAUGGAACCCAGGGCUUCAUACAUUCUAGGCAGUGCUCUACUGCUGAGCUGUAUUCCCAACCCCAACUUGCUUCUUGGCCAUGUCAAGCUUCCUAUAAUGUGAGCAUCAUUCCUAAUCGGUCUUAGCAUCUACUGUUUUUCUUUGGGCUGACAAUAAGGGUUUUGUUGGUACUUUAAUAGAACUUGUAAAUUAAAUUCUUAUAAAUGAUAGGAAGAAUCUAG
rnacentral:lncRNA from 1 species